AGGAAGCUCCAGAACUGCUCUGCACAGGUGACCAGCCAGGGGAGGAGAGGGCUCUGGUGACCGAGAGGUACACACACGGGUUCCGGAUGCGAAAUCCAAACAGGUGGUGGGAUCGACUCCACUCCUUUACCUGCUAAAGAAUGGGAAGGUAGGAAUCUGAUUUGAUGUAACUCAUGAAGAGGGUGGGGAAAGGGGGCAUUUAGAUAUCAAAAAGGUCACACUCUGAGCCCGGGGCGUGACUGUCCAGUGCUGAAAAAGCACAUAAAAUCCUGGGCUGUGCUGUUCUCCAGUCCAUACACAGUCUGGUGUUUUAAGAGCAAGAGAGGGGUGCCUGCGAGGCUCAGUCGGUUAAGCGUCCGACUUCGGCUCAGGUCACGAUCUUGCAGUUCGUGGGUUCGAGCCCCGCGUCAGGCUCUGUUUUGACAGCUAAGAGCCUGGAGCCUGCUUCGGAUUCUGUGUCUCCCUCUCUCUGCCCCACCCACCAUUUAAGCCAGAACUUGGGGGGCCUGUGGCCUUUGGGGCUUCACCCAAAACGACCAUGUGUCUCAUUCGGACAGCGUAGCCAGGUCCUCUAGCUGAACUGUCCCCUGCAUAAGGCGGUCAAGUCCCGUCUGGGGUGCAUUGCAAGUGCUUUGUCCUUAACUGUCGUUCUAGUGCCUCGAGUGACGGGGCUUACAGACCAUCUCCCCGCCUUUCUCUGGCAUGAAUGCAGAUUCUGCAGCGGCCCUGUACUAUCACUCUCGCCUCCCCUGAUGCUUUCGUACGUGAGAGUAAACAGGACGGGCUCUCAGCUCGCUCACUGGGAAUCCACACUCCCUGUGUCUCCCUACGUCCGCCCCAAAGCUCGUGGUCUGGGCGCAGCUGUGGUAGAGAGGCCCAUGCGGAGGCUACUGUUGUGUACGUCUUGCUGGGAGUCUGGGGGCAGCCAUGACUCCAGGAAGUAUCCAAGGUCUGGACUCACCUGGAAGUUUCCAGCAAUGCUUGCCCACGCGCCCUGACCCUUAAGCUAGCAUCUCAGCAAGAAUAAUGAGGAAACAUCCCCCGAGCAUCACUCAUCACCACUGGGAUCCCCGCACAUGGGCGUGGACCAGGGAACAUGCCAGCAUCACGCUGAGGGGCUUUUGCCAAAGGCCAUCGCCGCAUGGGACGCUGGGGCGUCUGCGCACCUGGUCUGGAAUGCGGCCCAGGCCAGGCGCCGCAUUUCUGGGGGAAAGCAUCUCCACCGAGACUCUUCCGGUGCCCGUGGAUCGGAGGACGGGACCGGCAUCCACGUGUCUCUGCUCCGCGGACUGUACCCUUCCACCCACAGCUGUUCUCUUUGGGAGAUUUUGUUUUAAUCUGAGUCCUUAAAGGAACUGACGUAAUGUUGAA